GUAUUCCUGGCAAGCUGAAACAGUUCGUGUUGGACCUUCACUCCGGAAAACUACACAGAGAGUUCCACCACGGUCCGGAUCCCACGGACAGCACGCCCGGACAGGAGGAGAUCGGGGGCGACGGGGCCAGCAAACCCCCACAGAGCUCCUUCCAAAAGCUGGCGCCCAGCGAGACUCGCUACACCAUCCUUGGACGGGACCGCGAUGAGCUGUGACCCCAGCCGCCUUUCCUACCAGUCACCCUUUUUGACUCAGUGCCACACCUCGGGGGGUGGGGACGUCCGGGGAGGGGAGCUUUGGGUCAGGACACAGGCCAGCGGGACAGAACAGCAACACCCAACACCCUUACUUAAAAGAGAGAUGAAGAACUGGAGAAGAGAAAGAGUGAUAGUGCAAAGCCCAUGACACAACCAUGUUGGAAUAGCCUAUAUUUUCUUAACUUGUAACAUUUUAUUUGGAUUCUGGGGAAAGGUGAAGACUUAAGUGCGUGGGUGUGGGGGUAGAAGCAUGAGAAGUAUUUUUAUGUUUAUUUGUUUUUUUUUUUUUCAAGCUUGUACAUAUGUUUUUGUUCCUUGGCAUUUGUUGAUCUAAAUUAAAUGCACCGUUAUUUUUCUUUGUUGAUUCUAUUCACCCGUCACUCCACUUGUUCUCUAACGUGGCUCUUUUCCACCAAGGUUACUCCGACGCCGCCUCAUGUGGGUGAUACUCAUUAUGUCUUCGUAAAAGCACAAGACGAUAUUUUGAAGUAGUAGCAUCUUCUCUCUCUCUCUGCAAGAUUUCUGAAGGAUUAGAAACAUGUCAGCUACUUGAUACUACUUGUUUCGAGCUAGGUGUAGGGAAACUGUAAGUAGAUUUGCCGUGCUUUUCUCAAAACAAAAACAUCAGAGGAACUGUAAUAAAAAGACUGAAAACACGUGGCCCAUGAAGGCACAUUAAUAUACACUCCUCCCAAAAUAGCAGAAUAGGAUAUUGGGCUUUUGGUUGAAAAUUGACAGCGAACCUCAAAUUCACAUGAACACGUGAACUCAAAUUGACCUGUAAACAUUUGAAUGAGCUGUGAAGUGUUUCAGUACUUUUGCACAACUUGCUGUUCUGUCACAAGCUGAAUGGCAAAAUUCAAGUGUUUGAUCCAUGAAUGCACUGAUGCAUUCCCUGCUUCAAUUAGAAUUGGCAUUUAAACAGGUGUGGUCAUCAUGUCGCUCACGUUUCAACAUCAUGAAACCAGGACAACACCUAACAAUUGACCAAGAGAUUCAAAUAGAAUGUUCUCAGAAUGAUGUGGCCACUGAGCUGAGUCAUCACCAAGUUGCAACAGACACUGGAAGUGUCACAGAAAGGCAUAGAAGUAGACUGUGGAUAUUGUGAACAGUUGUGAAUUAUGCCAGCAGCAUAUCACAGUUGGACAUUGCAUCCAGAAGUUUUGAGAAGCUCAAAUAACCUGGCAAUGGGUUCAUCUUGAAAUUUCAUGUGAAACCCGCCUACAUUGGAUCCCCUUCAUGUUUCUGGUUUAUUGUAAUGAAUCUGUUUUUUUCUUUUUUUGCAGAAACCCCUUCAUGCCUUGUUUUGCAUGUGUAAACUUGAGUUUUCCUGCUUUUUCCCCCCAUGGCAAUUUUAAAAGGUGUCACUUGGUCAUGAACAAUGGGGCCACUGUCUGAACUAACCUUUUGUGAGUUGUUUGUAUAAUUUAUAUUGAAAACAACCACCACCACAAAUCUAGCACCAAGACUGAAACAGCCCCAGAUAGGAAAAAGGUUCCCUACCCCUGACUAAGAUCGUCAGAGUUUAGCACAGCACUCUGAAGAGAGAUGAAUCCUGUGAGUUUUGCGAAAGUGGCUCGAAUUAAUUGUCUUUCUUUUCACUUAAAAAAAGAAAAAAAGAUGCUUUUCAGAGAACAACAUUUUUUUUUGUCUCUUUCCAAUUCUGGGCACCCACGAGAAUGUUUGAUCCAGAAGGCCAUGCAAAAAAACAAAACAAGUAAAUUGACUUCAAACCCACAAAUGCUCAUUUGAUCGUCAUUGUUUUACAAAGGAGGACUCUUCCCUAUCCCUACACAAAAUCAUUACUUACAAAAAAAUUGUAAUUGCCAAAGAUUAGACUAAAAUGACAAGUGAAAAUAAUUUUUCUGUGCUGUGCCACUGAAGCUUACAACCUCCACUGUGAUAAAUAAUGAAAGGCUUUUCUUAUCCACCGAGUGUUUUCCUCGAAUCCAACCCAUGUUUUUGUACACGUGCACAUCCACAUGAUCAUGGCUGUUGUAUGUCAGAAAGAACACUCUUAAAAAAAUGUUUAAUAAGUCUCUGGUACUAGUAAUUGAUCCUUGAAAUGGAUCUAAAAGAAGA